rnacentral:rRNA from 1 species
UACGAAGGGGGCUAGCGUUGUUCGGAAUUACUGGGCGUAAAGCGCACGUAGGCGGAUUUGUAAGUCAGGGGUGAAAUCCCGGAGCUCAACCUCGGAACUGCCUUUGAUACUGCAAAUCUCGAGUCCGAUAGAGGUGGGUGGAAUUCCUAGUGUAGAGGUGAAAUUCGUAGAUAUUAGGAAGAACACCGGUGGCGAAGGCGGCCCACUGGAUCGGUACUGACGCUGAGGUGCGAAAGCGUGGGGAGCAAACAGG